UAACAUUUCUUCGUCACAUAAUUCCAAUUGUGACCAGCAUGAAUACGAUCUACAAGUCCAAAUAGAUAUACUUAUGACUGAUUUUAAUGAAACAAACGUGAUUUUUCAAUUUCUCUAUGUUUCUGUCUCUGGGGAUGUUACACGUACAAAGGAUAUUAUCUUCCUAAAAUUCGGAGCCUUUAUUCCGGAAUGCAAAUCAAUAUUGUGCCAGAGCAAUGUAACUUGCGAUGCAAAUGCAAACCCAAAAGACAUAUGCCGAUGCCCUUUGCAGAAUGUGAAGUUUUUCUGUCAAAACAUUGCACAAGAUGAAUUAUGGCAAAAUACUACAGUGGGGAUUGAUAAUUCUAUAAAGCCAAAGCCAUCAGG